UAACCUUAUAGAAACCAAAAGCCAUACUAAGAACUCAUUAUGACUAACAAAAGCUCAACGAAGAAAAUGAUUCUAAUCCUUUCCAUCACAAUCCUGGUUUUAUCUCCUCCAACAAGUUAUCUUACUUGUAUGGCAGGUAACUAAUCUUAGUUAAUCGAUCCAUUAAAUCGAAAAUUUACCCUUUCAUUAAUUAACAUUUUUGUGUGUGUGUGUGUGUUCUUCUACUUUGUAAGAUAUUCAUGCAACUGGAAGUCCCACCGAACCAGCAGGCAAGAACAACACAAAACAAAUCUCAUCACAAUAGUUAUUGUAUAUUAUUUUGUUCUUAAAAACGUUAUGUUUGUUCUCUUUCUUGGGCUUUUGCAGAUUCUCACGUCACUGGAAGUGAUAGAGUAGCAUGUCCUGCUUGCCUUUGCUGUGAAGGCCAAUCUCCUCCACCGGGAACUUGUUGUCGUUGCUGUUAAGUGUUAAUUUAGCUCAAGAGUCUUUAGUUAAUCCUCUUAAUUACUAUUAGAGUUCAUUAUAUCUCUACUUAUGUCCUUGUAGUGUUGUGUAUUAGUUCUUGUAUCCACUAAAUAAAAGUGUAGCCAGCCGCUUAGAUUCAUCCAUUGUUAGGGUGGUGCUUUGGCUAGUGAUUCGAAUAUUCCUUGUUUAUACAAAUACAAGUUUCGUAUAGAUAAGAGUUCUGUUUAAAAAUCGAAACAAAGUAAUAAGUAUGUUUAACGAAAUUAUGUAAAUAAUUUUAAAAAAGGAAUAAAUUUCAUACAAAUAUAAGUGAUUAAUUUGUAAAGAU
rnacentral:lncRNA from 1 species